rnacentral:misc_RNA from 1 species
AACGCACCUUGCGCCCUUUGGUAUUCCAGAGGGCAUGCCUGUUUGAGUAUCAUGAACACCUCAACUCUCACGGUCCGCCGUGAUGAGCUUGGACUUUGGGGGUCUUGCUGGCCUGCGGUCGGCUCCUCUCAAAUGAAUCAGCUUGCCAGUGUUUGGUGGCAAUCAUGGGUGUGAUAACUAUCUACGCUUGUGGUUUUCCACCAGGUAACCUUCAGCAAUGGAGGUUCGCUGGGGCUCACAAAUGUCCCUCCUCGGUGAGGACGGCUUCUUGAAUGUUUGAUCUCAAAUCAGGUAGGGCUACCCGCUGAACUUAA